AUAAAAUUGAAAAAUACCAUUAAUAAUAAAAUAACAUCAAGACGUUUAUAUGUUUCAUUCAUACAAGUCAGUUUGGAAUGUUUGAUCCUGACAAAAAAGAAGCGAGGUAAUCUCGCGAGAUUACACGAUACUGGAGAGUUUAACGGCUGUCUGCGUGAUCAUCGAGAAGUGCAUCGAGGUAAGGAAAUAUCAAGUCAAUAAGUCAAUGUUUAAAACGCGUAACAUAAUUUUAUUCACACAUAAAAUGUUGUAUGACAAAAAGCACGAUGCCAAUUAAUUGUGUUUUUCUGUAAAUUGUGAACGUAUCCGUUAUAAUGGUUUAUUCGCUAUUCCACGGGAUGUUCCCGCCGAAAUUGGACUACGGUUACAUGAAUAUGAUUGUAAUAUGAAUAUUAAUCAAUUAAUAUUAUAUCGGGUGUUAUCAACUUAACCACAUUGUUGUUUAUUGCUUCAGAAAAGCACAUAAAUGUAAGGGCUUUUUGGACAACUGUUCGGUAGAAAAGCGUUGAUAUCGUAGUUCAGUCAGUUUAUCCGAGAGGUCUUACAGGCGCCACAGACACCUCUGUCAGAGUCAUUUGUAAAGAGGAGCAGCACGGCAGCUGGAUGAGUGCGAGCCCUUCAAAUUAAACAUAGUGAUGGUGAUCUUGUCAAUGCUGAGAUUUUAAUGCAUCAACAGCCAUUACAUCUGUCUGGAUCAGGAUUGAACAAGAAACAGACAGCAAGAGUUGUCAGGUCAGAAACGUGAUGACACACAAACACAAGAAACUUCACAGGCGGCAAUUUCUUUUUCCACCGGUGGGUGCUCAUCACAACCUCCAGCUUUACUGGACGCCAGGUGCUCUGGAGCGCUCAAAAGCUUUGAAGAGGUGGAAAGCAGUGCAGUCAUGUUUUCGUGUGAUUUUAGAUGCGAAUUGUAAAGUUAAAGGCAGACCACCAUGCAACUUGGUGAAGUCAUGUGUCUUUCCAGAUGCCAAAAUCUGUACCCCUCAAAAAGACUUUAUUAAAUGCCAUGAUAGCCAAGAUGAGCCUGAAGAGGAGAUUUGGGAAGAUGCUGUUUCAUAAGUCUUUGUUUUGCCAGAUUAUCUGUGGUAGGGGUGUCUGCCAACGUGAUGCCUUGCUGGUCUGGUUUGAGUUUGAAGUCUCUCACAGACAGUCCAGAAGGUCUGGAGUCCAUCUUAGCUUUCAUUGAUGCUGUCAUCAUAUUGUUAGUGCAUGAGCCAGAAUGGAUGGGUGGUGGUGGCCAUAAGACGACUGUCAACUAAACCAACAACAAAAUUCAUAUUUGCAGUAAUAAAUAAAAUGACUUUUAAACAUG